CAGAAAUGUUGCUGGUGAAUUUAUAAGAAUGUGGUAUGAUACUAGUAAUGAAGGCAAAAUGGACAGUGAAGUUUAACACAACUGAACUCUAAGAAAAUCAACCAUUAAUCUCUCAUUUUCAUCUGCAAAUUGAAGCAACAGUUUAGUUUCAAACCUAGCUCCCUGGGUGGAAUGACGACUUCACUAUACUUAGUGAACAUCCUUUAAGAGCUGGGAUUUUUUUCGAGACAACAAAGAUCAUUCAUUUGGUUCUUUAUACUAUGAAACUUGAUAGAGACUUCAAAUAACCGUGGAAGUUUAAAUGCAAGAAAUGCUGCAGCCCCAUCUACUGGAGAGGUGCAGAAAGCAAAAAAUAAGUAAGUUUUAUAUGCCAAGAAAUUUUUAUGCCAAUAUGUGGAUCCUUUAGUUACCUUUCCUCCCAGCUCUGCGAUCUAUGCAUUUCUCUGCCACCUCCUCGACCAAAAACACCCUCUACUUCAUCAAAACUUCUUUGGUAGAAACCACAUUCACCUCUGCCUCUGCCUGAAAAUAAGAAAACAGAAAAAAAUGAUAGUCAGAUGUCAACAUGUGGCACACAUUCACCGCCAUAAAUUAAUAUCUAAAGUUCCAUCUCUAUACAAGGCAGGACAUCUACAUUUAAAUACUGAAUGAGGCCUGAUGAUCUUGACUUAUGAGACCAACAAUGGCACUGAAGUAGCUGGACCACAAGAGGCUGAAAGAAACAAGUUAAAAAACUAACAUAAUAUAAUGUAAUAGACCCAGUCCCGAACAAGAAAGUAUCAACUUUAAGUUCUUUAACAAAAAGUUGAAUAGUGAAAUUCUAAGAAGUUCAAUAAAACACUACCGUAGAUUAAA
rnacentral:sRNA from 1 species